GAAACAGAAGAAAUGAAAGACAUAUUCCGUGAUUACAUUCUAGUUUUAUAGACUGAACCUACAAACUUCAGAUGCUUGUGGAACAAUUGAAACAAGUGCAAAUUCAUGUUAAACCAUUUUUGUGUGGCUAUAUACUGUAUUGAAAUACUGUAAAGGAAAACAGAAUUGGGUAGGAUUAAUUGAGAAAAAACUUCCUGAAAAAGCAUCAUUAAUCCAGAUUUGAAGAAGACCAGACUUUGGCCAAGUGGGAAGGUGAGCAUUUUCUUGCUUGAAACAGUUAGGGGCAAACCUCAAAACUGAGCCAGCUGGCUCUUGCGGCAGAUCACAAGACAGAUCA
rnacentral:lncRNA from 1 species